rnacentral:rRNA from 1 species
GAUGAACGCUGGCGGCGUGCCUAAUACAUGCAAGUCGAGCGAACAGACGAGGAGCUUGCUCCUCUGACGUUAGCGGCGGACGGGUGAGUAACACGUGGAUAACCUACCUAUAAGACUGGGAUAACUUCGGGAAACCGGAGCUAAUACCGGAUAAUAUAUUGAACCGCAUGGUUCAAUAGUGAAAGACGGUUUUGCUGUACCUUAUAGAUGGAUCCGCGCCGCAUUAGCUAGUUGGUAAGGUAACGGCUUACCAAGGCAACGAUGCGUAGCCGACCUGAGAGGGUGAUCGGCCACACUGGAACUGAGACACGGUCCAGACUCCUACGGGAGGCAGCAGUAGGGAAUCUUCCGCAAUGGGCGAAAGCCUGACGGAGCAACGCCGCGUGAGUGAUGAAGGUCUUCGGAUCGUAAAACUCUGUUAUUAGGGAAGAACAAAUGUGUAAGUAACUAUGCACGUCUUGACGGUACCUAAUCAGAAAGCCACGGCUAACUACGUG